rnacentral:rRNA from 1 species
UACGAGGGGGGCAAGCGUUGUUCGGAAUUACUGGGCGUAAAGCGCACGUAGGCGGCUUUGUAAGUUAGAGGUGAAAGCCCAGGGCUCAACCCUGGAAUUGCCUUUAAGACUGCAUCGCUAGAAUUGUGGAGAGGUAAGUGGAAUUCCGAGUGUAGAGGUGAAAUUCGUAGAUAUUCGGAAGAACACCAGUGGCGAAGGCGACUUACUGGACACAUAUUGACGCUGAGGUGCGAAAGCGUGGGGAGCAAACAGG